rnacentral:rRNA from 1 species
GACGAACGCUGGCGGCGUGCUUAACACAUGCAAGUCGAACGGAAAGGCCCUGCUUGCAGGGUACUCGAGUGGCGAACGGGUGAGUAACACGGGGGUGAUCUGCCCUGCACUUCGGGAUAAGCCUGGGAAACUGGGUAUAAUACCGGAUAGGAGACAUUUUUAGUGUGAUGGUUGGAAAGUUUUUUCGGUGUAGGAUGAGCUCGCGGCCUAUCAGCUUGUUGGUGGGGUAAUGGCCUACCAAGGCGGCGACGGGUAGCCGGCCUGAGAGAGUGGACGGCCACAUUGGGACUGAGAUACGGCCCAGACUCCUACGGGAGGCAGCAGUGGGGAAUAUUGCACAAUGGGCGCAAGCCUGAUGCAGCGACGCCGCGUGGGGGAUGACGGCCUUCGGGUUGUAAACUCCUUUCGCUAGGGACGAAGCUUUUUGUGACGGUACCUAGAUAAGAAGCACCGGCUAACUACGUG